rnacentral:lncRNA from 1 species
GCGAGCAGCCCGGAGCCAGGCCUUCGUGGAGAAAGAAGGUGCUCCGGGCCCCGAGACCCCAGCAGAGGUGCCCCGGGAAAGUGUCCCAUUCCCGCGUCCGCUGUCUCGCUCGUGCCACCGUUCCUGCAUCUGGCAUCCACCCGUCACAGAGCCCAGGGCCCUCAAGCGUCAGGAGAACCCGGCUGGAACUACUUCUUGGUAUAUAUAGGUUUUGGAAAGUAUAUUCACGAUUGCUGCGCUUGGGGACACAAGCAGAGUGCUUCCUCGGGAGCUGAAGGCUGUUGGACCUGCCCGGGAGGCUGGCGAACUGGGACUGAUUUUAUCCUCACAAGACCCUCAGCUCCUCAGGGAGCUCAUCUGGGGAGCAAAGCUGACCAGCGAGGAGGUUGGCACCCUCUGGGUAGGCUGGGGCUGGGUUCAGCUGGGGAGGGAUUGGCUUUUCAGUGCCCUCCCUCCCACCAUCUGAGAGACGGGAAGCCACAGGCCUCCCCGUGUCUCACUGAGGGUGCGGUGAUGGUGGAAGCCGGUGAGACUCCCACUGCCCGUCUGCCAGAGCACAGCCAGGCUCCAGGGCUGGUCCAGGGCUCCCCCUCCCUCCGGGCAUCAGGGCCGCUCAGCCCGUGGACCAGUACCCAGAGCUUCGGGCCUUUGCCCCCUGCACACGCUCUCCCUCCGGGCCUUUCCUGCCCCGGCCUGUGCAGCGUCCCCACCCUCCCCUCUCGGCCUGAACCCUUUCCUCCUUCCCCGAGGCCCUUCUGGUUCACGGGUGAGUCCUUGUCAGGUCUCAUCUCGGGACGGCAACGCUGUCCCUGGGCCCACGGCAGCAGCAGCCCCGGAACCCACGGGGAAUGUGAAUUUCUAGGCUUUAACAAGCCCGAAGGCGAUUGUGAUGCUCGGGGUGAGACCCGCUCCCCACCGUGGCAGGCUGGGGUGGGGCCAGCAACUCAGGAAAACGCCGGGAUGGCUGCGGCCUGAUCUCGGCAGCCAGGUCGGGCAGUCCACGGCCACGGAUGCCGAGUCUGCUCGGCCGGUGAGCAGGAGAGCACUGCACAUCUUCGCGUGUGAAGAUCCAGAUAAACAUUUAUCUAAAAGGAAAUUCGAAGCUUUUGUGUGCCAAACACCCGUGGCCAAGGUAAAAGGCUGAUUACGUGGGCAUGCGAUUUGCAACAACCACAGUGAGGGGUUAGCAUUUCAAUUAUGUGACGACACAGGUGAUUUAAUGAUGAAAAGUGCUGAGAUCCCCCCAAGUGGAGUGUCAGAGGUCAGGAACGGGCCUUUUGCCAAGAGAAGGAGCCGAGGACGGGCGAAGGCUGGUGGAAAAAAUAAAUACGGCGGCGGUCGAGUGCUUGGAGCGAUG